rnacentral:rRNA from 1 species
AGCAGCCGCGGUAAUUCCAGCUCCAAUAGCGUAUAUUAAAGUUGUUGCAGUUAAAAAGCUCGUAGUUGAAUUUCGGGGUUAGUAGGUUGGUCAUGCCUCUGGUAUGUACUGGUCUCACUGAUUCCUCCUUCCUGAUGAACCUUAAUGCCAUUUAUUUGGUGUUUUGGGGAAUUUGGACUGUUACUUUGAAAAAAUUGGAGUGUUUAAAGCAAGCUAACGCUUGAAUACAUUAGCAUGGAAUAAUGAAAUAGGACGUUCGAACCUAUUUUGUUGGUUUCUAGGAUUGACGUAAUGAUUAAUAGGGAUAGUUGGGGGCAUUAGUAUUCAAUUGUCAGAGGUGAAAUUCUUGGAUUUAUUGAAGACUAACUACUGCGAAAGCAUUUGCCAAGGAUGUUUCAUUAAUCAAGAACGAAGUUAGGGAUCGAAGACGAUCAGAUACCGUCGUACGCCUUAACCAUAAACUAUGCCGACUAGGGAUCGGAUGAUGUUAAUUUUUAUGUACUCUAUUCGGCGUCCGUUA